rnacentral:rRNA from 1 species
UACGGAGGGUGCAAGCGUUGUCCGGAUUUAUUGGGUUUAAAGGGUGCGUAGGUGGCCCUAUAAGUCAGUGGUGAAAGCCUGCAGCUUAACUGUAGGAUUGCCAUUGAUACUGUAGGGCUUGAGUACUGAUGAGGUAGGCGGAAUUGAUAGUGUAGCGGUGAAAUGCAUAGAUAUUAUCAAGAACACCGAUUGCGAAGGCAGCUUACUAAGGAGUUACUGACACUGAGGCACAAAAGCGUGGGGAUCAAACAGG